AGAGUCUUCUUAAUUUUUGUGAAUUUUGGCACAACAAGCUAAAAAGAAAAAUAAGCAGGGGAAUAUCCUGGGAGAUGCACCUCUUCAGAAUCCUCAUCAGGACUUUGGAACAACCAAAGUUGCUGUUUUAAAAUUGAUUAAAUCGCAGACACGCCUACUGAAAUCGUCCAACCUAGUGAAGAAACAGAAUGGGAUUUGGAUUAUAGGGUUUCAGAUAACACCAAGUCCCUUGUGAAAGAGGGAAGUUGUUAACGUUUAAGAAGAGUCUGCAUUCCUGUGAUGAUGAGCUAGAGAGUUCUGAAGACCCCGUGCUUCAGAUGGGUCAGGUCCUGAAGCACAGGCACUACUGAGGAAGAAAUCAGAGGAGGAAGAAAGAGUUAGAAAGCAAAGUGAUAGAAAGGGAAACUUGGGAAGGAAAGAGAGGGAUGAUCCUUUGCCUUCUGGAAUCUGUGAAGGCAGUGUGGGGAAAUAAGAUUAUUUUCCUAAAGAAUUUUUAAUGUUUAUAUAUAUAUAAAUGAUGGU